rnacentral:lncRNA from 1 species
UUUAAACAUGUACUUUUUGAUUAUUUGGAAAAUUCCCAUUAUGCAUCCUGACCACUUAUUUCCCAGUCCUCCCCGGUCCACUCUCUCUCGUGACUUUCUCUAAAACAAAGAAGAAAAGAAAAAGAAAAAGAAAAUACCAAGUGCAAUUUGUGUUGCCCAUAUUCUCACCACAGCACGGUCAAACUCCCAGUGGUCGGCCCCUUUAAGAAAACGGUGUCCUUCCGUCCCCGACUCCUGCCAGAAGCCAUCAGCUGGAAGAGCUACACUUCAGCAUCCCUAUCACAACCUGGUUUUUUUUAAGAUUCAUUUAUUUUAUGUGCAUCUGUGUUUUGCCUUUUAUGUAUGUCUGUGUGAGGGUUCCAGAUAUCCUAGAACUGGAGUUAUCGGCAGUUGUGAGCUGCCAUGUGGGUUCCCAGAAUUGAACCCAAAUUCUCUGAAAGAGCAGCCAAUGCUCUUAACCACUGAGCGAUCUUUCCCUGACUCCCCACUCCAUAUCAUAACUUUUUUUGUUGUUGUUAAUUUUUGAGACAGGGUCUCACUAUAGCCCUGGCUGUCCUGGAACUCACUCUGUAGACCAGGCUGGCAGUGAACUCAGAGAUUUGUCUGCCUCCGGAGUGCUGGGAUUGCGAGUGUGUGAUUUCACUUGGGUAGGGGGCAAGGUGUGUGUGUAAUAUACAAAAUAACGGGAAUGAAGUGGGCCAACCCCUCCAGAAUAACUCUCCUAUUCAUUGUACUUUUGCUUCCACCCAUGUGCCACCGCCUCCCAGCUCCCUUUUUAGAGUUUUUUUUUUUUCCAAUGACUUUCUGUCCAGACUUUCUUUUUAGGGGAUUGGAGGAUGGGAAGUGGGGGUGGGGGAGAGAAGCAGUCACAGAGGUCUUCUAUGUCUCUCAUUCUCAACUGUGAGUCUGCAAUCAUCAAUACCACUGCAAAAGAAGCAUGCUUGCCCUUUACAGUCAGCAGCAGCAAGGAUCAUGGACGUCCACAUGGUUUCUGGCUACAGCACGGGCCGCAGACAGACCAUGGACAUUCCCAAGGCCUUUGGUGGUAACAAGGACCAUGAGCAUCAACCCCAGGGGCAGCACAGCUCACUGUCACCAACGUGGCUUCGGGCAGCAGCUCAGAUCUCCACAUCCACCUGGCCUUCAGUGGUAACUCUCGCAACUGGCAAUUUCUUAAAGAGACAAGUCUCUUAUGUAGUGAGACCUCAAAUCCACAGAAAACCUCUGACUCCCAAGUGUUGGGAUUAAAGGUGGGUGCACAGAUAGAUACUAUAAAUCAUCCAGUGGUCUGUUUUGUGCUGAGAAAAGAACCUAGUUCCUUCCGCAUGCAUACGAGCAAAGUUCUACCUCUGAGCUAAGCCCCAAAGCACAGGAGUGGGCUCGCACUCAGCGCCCCUUUCAGUAGUUCCUGUAACUUUGAGUACGAGCUGAAGGGAAGAAAGCCCUUUAGAAACCACCCAGUCCACACCAUCCACAGCCUGG